UCGAGAUUCUCUCUCUCUUUCUCCCUCUGUGUCUCUCGUUGCCCCAAAAACCAAACCCUCUCCGCCAAAUCCCAAACCCAAAACCCCAAUAGAAAGUAAAAUCUCCCAAAUUCCAAAACAAACCCAUAUCCGAAUCCACUGAGAGACCUUUACUCAUAACCAUAUAAACAUAAAUUUUAUGGAUUCAGAUCAGGGAAAGCUAUUUAUCGGCGGGAUUUCAUGGGAGACAACCGAGGAGAAGCUCAAUGACUACUUUUCUCAAUAUGGCGACGUUUUACAGACUGUGGUAAUGCGAGACAAGACCACUGGCAGACCUAGAGGCUUUGGCUUUGUCGUUUUUGCAGAUCCUUCCAUCCUUGAUAGGGUUCUCCAGGAUAAGCAUACCAUUGAUGGUAGAACGGUUGAGGCUAAGAAGGCCUUGUCAAGAGAGGAGCAACAGACUACUGUCAGGGCUGGAAAUCUGAAUUCUGCUAGAAACACUGGCAAUGGUGGAAAUAUCAGGACCAAAAAGAUUUUUGUUGGUGGGUUACCUCCUACUCUUACGGAGGAAGGAUUCCGUCAGUAUUUUGAAGCUUAUGGCCAUGUCACUGAUGUAGUAAUAAUGUAUGACCAGAACACCCAACGGCCUCGUGGAUUUGGAUUUAUUUCCUUUGAUAGUGAAGAUGCUGUUGAUCAGGUUUUGCACAAAACAUUUCAUGAUUUGAAUGGUAAGCAAGUUGAAGUAAAGCGGGCUCUUCCUAAAGAUGCUAAUCCUGGUGCUGGAAGCCGCUCUAUGGGUGGUGGUGCUAGUGGUGCUGGUGGUUAUCAGGGCUAUGGUGCUUCUGGGGGCAAUUCAAGUUCAUAUGAUGGUCGCAUGGAUUCAAAUAGGUAUAUGCAGCCUCAAAGCACUGGAGGUGGCUUUCCUCCUUAUGGUUCAUCUGGCUAUAAUGCACCUGGUUAUGGAUAUGGUCCUGCCAAUAAUGGUGUUGGAUAUGGUGGUUACGGUGGUUAUGGUGGUGCCAGUGCUGGCUAUGGUGGACCUGCUGGUGCUGCAUAUGGGAAUCCCAAUGUCCCAAAUACUGGCUAUGCAAGCGGCCCACCUGGUGCCCCUAGAAGCACAUGGAGCAGUCAAGCUCCUUCUGGCUAUGGUGCUAUGGGCUAUGGAAAUGCUGCUUCUUGGGGUCAGCCAAAUGCUGGUGCUGGUGGUCCUGGUACAACUCCUGCAGGUCAAUCUCCUAGUGGGACUGCUGGGUAUGGGAAUCAAGGUUAUGGGUAUGGUAAUUAUGGUGGAAAUGAUGGGUCUUACGGGAAUCCAGCUGGUUAUGGGGCUGUUGGGGGGCGUGCUGGGGGUACCCCUAACAGUAAUGUUGGCGGUGCAGGUGGAGAACUACAGGGGAAUGGCAGUGGCUACAUGGGGAGUGGCUAUGGUGAUGCGAAUGGAAAUCCAGGAUAUGGAAAUGCAGGGUGGAGAUCUGAGCCACUGGCAUCUGGAAAUUAUGGGACUCCUCAAGCAAAUGGACCUCAUGGCGGGCAAGUUGGUUAUGGUGGGGGGUAUGGUGGUGGUCAGUCUCGGCAAGGCCAACAACAGUGAUAAUGAAGACACUGAUACCAAGUGGGUCUUCAUGGUUGUUUUAUGGGUACUUCCUGCAUUUGUCAUGAGGUCCUUCAAAGAUUUCUCGCUCCCAGCCCGGGAGAGUCUCUCAAAUUGAAUGCCGACACUCAUUGGGACCGGAGGAGAUGCUGGAGUUCUAUGGUGGAGUGACGUGUCCACUUAUGGCCAGAGCUUCACAGUGGGGGGUGUUCAGUGUGGGGGUAUUUUCCAGCAUUGAUUGGAAUUUGAAGAGGACUUGUCGGUCAAAAUUGUGAAGUUAACUUCUGAAACAGAGAAAGGCCAUGUUCCAGCUAGGCGAGUCACCACAGUCAACUUGUUUGCAGAUUCUUGGCAUUACAAGUUAUAAAUUUCUCAAUCAUUCCAGGUCCUGGUGGCUAAUCAAUUUUUGGGGGCAAACAUCUUGGGGUACGUUGAUGUGAGCUGUUAGCCGUCUGUGUGACAAAUCUGAUUGGUUAGGCUAUGGUGUGAUGCAUUGGAGUAGAAGUGUCAUUCCAAAGGUUAAUAACACCAGAGACGUUGAUAGCGGAAGUGUAGGUAGCUUUAGGAAUGAAGCAAUUCAAUUUGAUAAUGUUUGAGGCAUUUUUUUUUCUAAUAAAGAAAAUAGGCUAAGCAACAGGCAAAUGGUCUUUGCUUGUCUAGUACGAUGCAUUUUUUAAUAGUCUAGGAUGCGUUGAAAUGGCUCGAGCUUUACCACUAUCCAUUCAUUCCAAUAGGAGUGGAUAAUUAGAUUUUAUUCAUAAUAAUAUUUUGGAUGGGAAAAUUAUUUUGUUUUC